GCAGUCAGCCCACAGCACUGUGCCCAUUUUACCAGCCAUCCACGGAGGAGGAGGCAAGAGGUCCUUACGGCAGCAGUUUGGGGGCAGGUGGACACAGAGCUAAAAAGAUCAUGGGGAAGCCGCAGGCUAAAACUGAGGAGAAAAUAUAACCCCAGAGAGCCUUGGUCUCUUUGCUGAAUUCUUUCUUCAAAGAAGACAACAACCGAGGUCCUUCUUCCAGCUUCUCACUGUGGGAAUCAAAGCCUUCAGAUAAAGCCACAGCCCUAGCCAUCAGCUUGACUGCAGCCUCAUAAAAGACCUUAAGCCAGAGCCACCAGCUAGGUUCCUACUCACAAAAACUGGAGAUAAUAAAUGUUUGGGGUUUUGAUGCUGAGUUUGGGGAUAAUUUGUUACAUGUCAAUAAGUAACUAAUAUAACCACCAUCUACAACACUUCAAAAUAU